AGCGAACGCUGGCGGCAGGCUUAACACAUGCAAGUCGAACGGGCGUAGCAAUACGUCAGUGGCAGACGGGUGAGUAACGCGUGGGAACGUGCCUUUUGGUUCGGAACAACUGAGGGAAACUUCAGCUAAUACCGGAUAAGCCCUUACGGGGAAAGAUUUAUCGCCAAAAGAUCGGCCCGCGUCUGAUUAGCUAGUUGGUGAGGUAAUGGCUCACCAAGGCGACGAUCAGUAGCUGGUCUGAGAGGAUGAUCAGCCACACUGGGACUGAGACACGGCCCAGACUCCUACGGGAGGCAGCAGUGGGGAAUAUUGGACAAUGGGCGCAAGCCUGAUCCAGCCAUGCCGCGUGAGUGAUGAAGGCCUUAGGGUCGUAAAGCUC
rnacentral:rRNA from 1 species